rnacentral:rRNA from 1 species
UACUUCCAGGGUAGGGGUGAAAUCCUGUAAUCCUGGGGGGACCACCAGUGGCGAAGGCGUCCGACCAGAACGGCUCCGACGGUAAGGGACGAAGCCCUGGGGCGCAAACGGGAUUAGAUACCCCGGUAGUCCAGGGUGUAAACGCUGCGGGCUUGGUGUCGGGGGUCCUAUGAGGGCGCUCGGUGCCGGAGUGAAAAUGUUAAGCCUGCUACCUGGGGAGUACGGUCGCAAGACUGAAACUUAAAGGAAU